GUCUACGGCCAUAUCACGUUGACAGCACCAGUUCUCGUCCGAUCACUGAAGUUAAGCUACGUCGGGCCCGGUUAGUACUUGGAUGGGUGACCGCUUGGGAAUACCGGGUGCAGUUGGCA
rnacentral:rRNA from 1 species